rnacentral:RNase_P_RNA from 1 species
AGAGUGGGCCAGGCGGUCGCUCGCGGCGAGAAAUCGCCGCGGGAGGAAAGUCCGAACUGGUCCGAGCGCGGUGAUGGCUAACGGCCACCGGCGGCGACGCCAGGGACAGUGCCACAGAGAUCAAACCGCCGAUGGGUGCCGGCUCUCGAGACGGCAUCACAGGCAAGGGUGAAACGGUGCGGUAAGAGCGCACCGCGCGGCCGGCGACGGUCGCGGCACGGCAAACCCCACCGCCAGCAAGCCCAUGUAUGCGGCGAGAUCGUUGCGAGGUUGAUCGGCGCGAGUCGGUCGGCGUCGCGACGGCGCGAGGCGGCCCGUCUCGCACCACGCCGCGGGUAGGGCGCUUGAGCCGGCGAGCAAUCGUCGGCCCAGAGAAAUGAUCGCCACCGCGGGAGCAAUCUCGCGGGACAGAAUUCGGCUUACCGGCCCACUCUGCUU